rnacentral:rRNA from 1 species
GACGAACGCUGGCGGCGUGCUUAACACAUGCAAGUCGAACGGAAAGGCCCUGCUUUUGUGGGGUGCUCGAGUGGCGAACGGGUGAGUAACACGUGAGUAACCUGCCCUUGACUUUGUGAUAACUUCAGGAAACUGGGGCUAAUACCGGAGAGGAGCUCCUGCUGCAUGGGGGGGGUUGGAAAGUUUCGGCGGUUGGGGAUGGACUCGCGGCUUAUCAGCUUGUUGGUGGGGUAGUGGCUGACCAAGGCUUUGACGGGUAGCCGGCCUGAGAGGGUGACCGGGCACAUUGGGACUGAGAUACGGACCAGACUCCUACGGGAGGCAGCAGUGGGGAAUAUUGCACAAUGGGCGGGAGCCUGAUGCAGCAACGCCGCGUGCGGGAUGACGGCCUUCGGGUUGUAAACCGCUUUCGCCUGUGACGAAGCGUGAGUGACGGUAAUGGGUAAAGAAGCACCGGCUAACUACGUG